AUUUCCCUUUUGCAAGCGAGCACCGAGUCAAACCAGACGCCGUGCACAGCUAAAAGUCCCCGACGGUGGCUAGGGUCGGUGGCGCGCUGAAGAACCCACGGCGGCCCAGCCUCUCCGCUGGCCUCGGCAGCCUCGCUCCCCAGCACCGCCGGCCCGCCGCACGGAUGGUGGUUCGGGCACCCCAAACAGCGAUAGGCGUCCGGGGUCUGAUAGAUUGUACCGGCACUCACCCGGCGGAUGGAAUGGAACCCAAGUCGCCGGCGCCCACCAGCAGCCUGCCUAGCCGUUCUUCUCCAUCCGUUCUCACAGGUGAGAUCCUCUCGAACUUCGCAUCUACCUCUCUUCACCUCGUCCAUCUGCCCUCCGGUCUGCACUCACGCCGGCGCUCAACGACGGAUCUCCCUAUGCAAUGAUCUUCUCGCUUUUGUUAAACCGUUCGAUCUAUCACGGGAUCCCCUUCCGCAGAUCUGACCCGGAUGCAGAUCGCAGUGACGGUAAUGUCAAAGUAGGCCACAUCUUCAGUACUCAUCUGGUGGCCUUGGUUUCUUGCAUGGUUAUCUCCUCCCGAUUGGGAUUCGUUUUUAUCAUAUUUGGAUUUGGGACUUGGAGGUUGGAGAUUUGGUGCGAUGCAAUCAUGGGAACUAGCCUUUGAAUAAAACAUCAUGUUUACUCGCACGGCCCCGGCACUUCUGUGGUUUGCACACCUCGCUUUUUUUUUCCCCGACGGGAAGGCUGGCAUACUCCAUUUGCGGUGAACAUCAUAGAUCUUAUACUACUACUAGGUGAUUUGGGAUGCUGACUUGUCUGUUUGUGCCUGCCUUUAGUGGUUUGGGUAGUGCACACUCGACAAAGGAGCAAAGUUCUAACUCAGUUUGAGGCAAGCAUUGACUGAACGUAGCGUAUGUGCUUUGUGAUCGGUUUCUGGCGUGAUUUUGUGGGUACUUCUAAGUUCUUUACACCACAAGAAUUUCUAGAUAGUUCUUUUUUCUGCAGGGCCAUUAAUUUUCGCAUCCACUUGUUUAUGAUCUAGGAUAUGCCUAUCCUGAAUGCAGGAGUCUCUGCAUAAUGUUAAGAGGAAAUGUCAUUUGGAACCAUGCAUCUCCACUCAUAAGCUUUAUCUGUUGCAAAGCUCUGCUGUCAUGUGUUGCUUAUCUACUCUAGUUCCCGGACCACAAUUUUAAACUUGUGGCUGAUUGGUAAUUCAUAUAUCUGCUUUACUUUCUGGUGAGAUUAGUUCUGAUGUUUAUAUAUGUGCUCUUCAUGCCAACCAUAUUUGUAGUGUAGCUAAACAUUUUGUUUCAGCUUUUGGGUGUCACUAAUCCAUAGCCUUUUCUGGCUGCUGCCUGAAUGCUGAUACCUUGACAUACCAAAAUUAGGAUUGUGUUGGAAGACAACAGUGGUCAUAUAGCGAAGUGGAUAUCGCGUUAGAUUCCGAAUCUAAAAGUCGUGGGUUCGAAUCCCACUAUGAUCAUUGUCUUCGUUUUUUUUCUUUUUCAGUAUUUUCUCCCCCUAUAGACAGUGAUAUUUUGGCAUUAACCACCAGAAAAGUGUUCAUGCUCUCUUGUGAACAGGUGGUCCCAUAAGCAGAUAAGCUUGCUAUCUUCACUCUUCAGUGAGAAUUGUCACGGAGUGCAUAGUUUUGGCUGUUGCCCGUGCAGCCGUGCUCACCUUUUGUGGACCGCAUCUACCUCUACUUGUUUGUAAAAUUGCUGUUUGUAAUUGGUGGCUAACGGUGUUACUUUUCGUGGAAGAUGGUAGCGUUCCAUCACAGAAAAACCUGCUUCACGAUGGCUCAUCAUUAUCUGAAACUUGCGGCUGGUAUAGCACUGUAAUUCUGUAUUGUCUGUGUGACUGUAAAAACAGUUCUCAAAUGACCGCAGCUAGUAAAUCAAUUUAUACAUGAUAUUUACACA